rnacentral:lncRNA from 1 species
GAGCUAAAGCACCAAACUCAACUUACCUUUCAGACCCGCUCAACAAAGUAUAUAGUAACAGUCUCAAGCAAGUCCCAUUAGUAACUACUAGACAUCGGAGACUAGCUACUAGACAUCGGAGACUAGCUACUAGACCUUAGCUACCUUAGCCCCCUUAGCUACCUUAGAAACCUUAGCCCCCUUAGCAACAUUAGCAACAUUAGCUACCUUAGCCCCCUUAGCUACCUUAGCAACAUUAGCACCAAGCAUGACUUGAAACAAGCAUUCAAGUUCAGCGACCAUAACUACACUUGAAGCCUAAUCUCCUUCCUAGAGCAACUUUCAGAGCCACUUUCCGAGCAAUAAAGAGGGUUAAGAAACAAUGGCUAAAAUGAAUUAUAAGGACGAUUUCUUAGUUUCAAUGAAAGGGAUUCCAUAUUUGCAUAGUUGACCCUAGGUUAUACGACUCGAGCUCUUCUUUUAACAGUUACAGUCGACUUUCUACCCAGUAGAAUAGAAGAUAGUGCAAAAGAAAUGGAAGCACCCCGGAGACUCGAAUAAGCGUUAGCACCAAGGGCUUGUUCCGGCGAACUCAUGUAAGCUACAACGUUAGCCUAAUUCUUUCUGAUGAAGCUGGCGUAUUAAGGAACAGUAUCAAGGUGUUCUGCUCGAGUUCAAUCGUAUAGCAAGUAAACUCCUGUGUUCGGGAACUCAGCAGUAAAAGAAGCAGGAGGCGUAUAGCAGCAAUCCAAAUAGGAAACUGGAACUUUCACUCCAAAGUCAGAAUCGAGCAAGUAGUCAAAUAAUGAAACAAGCAAUACAGAGCUCAUGGUUAUAUCAUAAUAAUCAAUCCAACUAUCAAGUCGGAACUCACUACCGAAAAGGGGGAAACUUAAGUACUAGGACACUAUGGAAUCAAACGAAUAAGUCAGGGUACCAGGAUACCCGGGCUAAGUUAUCCAAUGAGAAAGUAAGGAUACCAGUCUUGGCUCUAAGACAUUUAUGGAAAUAGGAAGUACGGAUUUGUCCUAAGCAGUAAAGGAAGGAACCUCAGUAGCAUAGGAACCAAACCAUAUACUAUUAGAAUCGAACAGGUGGACAAACAGACUCUUUUGGGGUUGGGGGAUCCCUUAGAAUAAGGCUGGUACUUCUUGUUCUUUAGCUAUGGGGGCCUAUUUAAGGAGCUUCAGCUACUAAGGGAAAGAAUGCAUUUACCACUUAUAGGGCUUUAACCAACACUAACAGGACUUCCACUCUCAAGUAAGACUACUAAGAUAAUCAAUACAAGAAUAGAGAAUUACUGGACACCCGACUCGACUUGAAGUUCAUCAUUGCUAUCCGGCAAGCAACGAAUAGUAGAAUUCGUGGAAUACCGAAACUUACAAUAAGGGGGCUAACUCUCACUCUUGACUUUAUCACUGGCACUGUACCUGUACUUAUAGUCUAAGCUUGGCCCUUCCCAUUCUACGCCUAUCCUGUUGAUGAAAGAAAUGCUGCUGUUGCUGUAAGGGAAUGAUGGCCGGGAUAGUAAGAAUAAGAGACAGGAGCGGGCUCAAGAGAGUCAAGGGUAAGGCUUGCUAGAGCCUAUUGCGCCUUCUCCUAUUCUAGUGUUCCUCGCCUUUAGUCUUAAAGCGACUACUAUAGGUUUCGUUCAGUCCAAUCCCUAUUAUAUAUAUAUAUAAGUAUUCUAAUUCUAAGUAAAGCUAUGGGCUACCCGAGUCAACCCUAUAUUCUAAGUCUUUUUAGUCAAACUCAUUGCGCUACCUAUGCUAUUAAUAAAGAAGAUAUAACCUAUGCAAUUUCUUAUUACAAAGUAUAUAGUAUAGUUGGGUAGCUUCGUUCCUACUAGCUUGUUUCAUUUCCAUUCUCUGCUUUGAUGACUAUGCUCGCUCUGCUUUCACUCUUUCACUAUCGAUCCGUAUCCUGACUCUCUUGAUCCAAUCUGCCUUUGCUAACUUUAUGAACUACUAUUAUUCUGAAUAUCCUUGCUUGGGGCUUAGUUAUAGCCAUGCCUCUCCUUACUUCUAUUCUAAUACUCGUACCUGCCACUCCCGGUAUAACAUAUGUAUUCCCCAGCCCUACCUUUCAGACUUAUACUCCUUGAUCUUAUUCUUGUAUUGUCCCUGCCGCUACUCACUUGGAGUAUUACCUUUACUUGAUCUCAUUCUUACAGCUUUAGUAGUCAGUAUGACUUUCCUGCCCAUUAGGCUUACUUCUUCGACUAUGAAUAUCACUUUACUGUAAUGUAGCUUCUACCCCCUGACUGAAAGUAGACCUUCCAUAACACAGAUUCUGACUAUCCCUUAUAUAAUAUAUAAGUCCAGGGCUCCUUGCUUCCAUGCUUUAACUACGGAUUUGUAUACUUUCAAUAGUGAUUCGGAUCUUUGUCUUCGCUACUAAACCUUAUAUUUGCUCCUGUUAUCCUUGUUACUACUACUGAUCAAACUUAUACUAAUUGCCUUUUAAGAAACAGAGCUAGUGCUAACAGGACUUACCUCACUACUGACUGGGAACAACCCUACUAACUAGAAGAAUCGACCUGUACCAUUGAUAGGAUGAGAUCAACAGGAGAAAGAGUGAACCCAGCACUUAUUAGACUUAUACUCAUAACUGGGAAAUCCCAACCCACGCAGACAAGUCCAUUUCUGUUGAGCGAUAGAUCCGUUAUGAUGGUGUUGAGUCAACUUCUCUCUUCCUUCAAAAUGGAAUGGAACUGCUACUUCUCGUAAUGAAGCUACUAUGACAUAAGGUGCUGAAAGCCUACUUAUGAGAAUGAACUAGCAGAAAAGACAAGACCCGAACACGGCCUAACCUAGCAACACUAUAGCUCGGAACUAGGGUCGAUGUAAUUGAGCUACUACUAAUAGAAUGCAACGACUAAUGCUCCUAAUACUUUAUUUCAUAAGUCAGUUCAUCAUACUCUUAAUAAGUAAGUGCAUCAUACUCGCGAACCUCAGUAUAAGAACCUAGGUAGUAAUUAAUGGAAUAAGAGUCUAUUUACUAAGAUAAUAGAAUAAUGGGGGUAUAAUCAUAAGAAGGGGGCUGGAGAGGGCGAGAUCGGACAACAACUAGUGCUUUUAAUACUUUAUCCACUGGGGAUCCUGGCAUUUGUUCUACAUUGUCACUCUAACUACUGCGAACAAGGCUUCUCUCCAGGGGUGGGCAAUCAAUCUAUUAAGUAGGAAUGCUGGUAUCUCUAAGACCGAACUAGUUCCUAUUGAAUCAAACUAACGACGCCGUUACUAAC